CCCUUAGAUGUUCUGGGCCGCACGCGCGCUACACUGACUACUUCAACGAGUUGUUUCCUUGAUCGAAAGGUCUGGGUAAUCUUUGAAAGGUAGUCGUGAUGGGGAUAGAUCCUUGCAAUUUUUGAUCUUCAACGAGGAAUUCCUAGUAAACGCAAGUCAUCAGCUUGCAUUGAUUACGCCCCUGCCCUUUGUACACACCGCCCGUCGCACCUACCGAUUGAAUGGUCCGGUGAAUCUUUAGGACUGUGGCUGAGGCCUUGCCUUGUGCGGGUCUGGCCGUGGGAAUUUAGUUAAACCUUACCAUUUAGAGGAAGGUGAAGUCGUAACA
rnacentral:rRNA from 1 species